rnacentral:tRNA from 1 species
GUUUUAGUGGUGCAGUGGUCAGCAUGCUUGACGCGUAACCUAGAGGUCCGUGGUUCGAUUCCCAGCGAAAGCG